AGGUGAUGGACAACAGGUUGAUAUUCCUGUACUACCGAUAACCGUUUGAGAGAAGGGAUGACACAGUAGGAUAAGCUAAGCACACUGUUGGUUAUGUGUGCCCAAGCAUUGAGGCAGUCAAAGUAGGCAAAUCCGCUUUGAUAAUGCUGGGAUGUGAUGGGGAGCGAAAUUUAGUAGCGAAGUAGCUGAUUUCACACUGUCAAGAAAAGUCUCUAUCGAGGUUAAAGGUACCCGUACCGCAAACCGACACAGGUGGGUGAGGAGAGUAUCCUAAGGCCAGCGAGAGAACUGUUGUUAAGGAACUCGGCAAAAUGACCCCGUAACUUAGGGAUAAGGGGUGCCACCAUCAGGUGGCCGCAGAGAAUAGGCCCAAGCGACUGUUUACCAAAAACAUAGGUUUCUGCUAAGUCGCAAGACGAUGUAUAGGAGCU
rnacentral:rRNA from 1 species